rnacentral:rRNA from 1 species
ACGAACGCUGGCGGCGUGCCUAACACAUGCAAGUCGCACGGGCCCGCAAGGGUCAGUGGCGCACGGGUGCGUAACACGUGAGGAACAUAGCCAUCGGCGGGGGAUAGCCGGCCCAACGGCCGGGUAAUACCGCGUACGACCUUCGGGUGGCAUCACCUGGGGGUGAAAGCAGCAAUGCGCCGAUGGGGUGCCUCGCGGCCUAUCAGCUAGUUGGUGAGGUCACGGCUCACCAAGGCUACGACGGGUAGCUGGUCCGAGAGGAUGACCAGCCACAUUGGGACUGAGACACGGCCCAGACUCCUACGGGAGGCAGCAGUGGGGAAUAUUGCGCAAUGGGCGAAAGCCUGACGCAGCGACGCCGCGUGUGGGAUGAAGGUCUUCGGAUUGUAAACCACUGUCGCGAGGGACGAAAAUCUGACGGUACCUCGAAAGGAAGCACCGGCUAACUCUGU